AAAAAGCCCUGCCCUGCAACGGGAUGGUAUCUAAAGUCUCCUGAAGAUUACAUCCGACUCCUAUUCCGAUACGACUACGUCGUGCAGGGUGAUAACAUGGGCCUAAACCUAACCUUUUGGGUGACAGCUCAUGGCUAAGGAGGAAGGG
rnacentral:ribozyme from 1 species